rnacentral:lncRNA from 1 species
ACAAAAGAUCCACCAAGAAGAACACCAAAGAUGCCCACCCACAUCCUUGGGUAGCCAUGCAUAACCUCUGUCCCUGGGAGAGACCUGUAGCCCUAGAAGAUCACCCGGAAGGCGUGAUCCCUUGCACACAAUGAAGCCAGCUCCGGAAGGCGUGAUCCCUUGCACACAAUGAAGCCAGCUCCGCCUGCCAAAGAGAUGUCAGGAACGACAGCUGAAAAGAACGUUUCCGUUUCGGGCCGGGGGCACUGCCGUAUAGCAGUGCCUUGCAGAGAAGAACGUACCAGCUGCCAGAUGUGCUCCACGAGCUGGUGAGCCAAGCCCACUGAGCUGCUGGGAGUGGGGGUGUCUGCCCUUCAGCUGCUCAACUACGCGAGGAAGCGGAGAGGCCGGUCUCCUCCUCUUCGAGCGAUGGCAGGUAUGCCCAGGAUUUAGGGCACAAAGUAGGUGCUCAGUUCAUGGGUAUUGCUCACAACCACAAUAUUAAAAUAAGCUCGCUCGCUCCCCGUUCUUCUCCAGUUGUUUCCUAGUCCUAGUCCGGAACCCCGCAACGUUCCCCGAAUAAAG